AAUUUUAUUUCCUACUCCUUUCCAAAUUUAUCAUAUCCUUCACUAACAGCUCAAUCAGACAGUAAUUAAUUUGGGUCUUGUUGCAAAUUAUUUAUUUGCUUUCCUUUUCCAGCUUAAUAUUCUUCAGUUUUUGAACAAUGGGAAAGUACUAUAUUAUUUUUGUAAUCAUUAUUUUGUGUUUCUUAAUCUCUUUGGCUUUUGGGAGGUGCCCAAUUUGUGACCAGGUAGGAGAGACCUGCUGCUAUAAUCGGGAGUAUGGACAUCACUGUGGUCCGAUUGGGUGUGGUCGUGGGAAGUGAAGGAGAGAUUGCGAGACCGGUUGUCAUGCAGGGAGAAUGAUUCGGGGAAUUAAAAAAUAUAUUUAAAUUGUUUUUUUCCUCUUAUGACAAGUAUUUGAAUAAAUUAUGAACAAUAACUAAAAAUUCAUUCGAUAUUCAAGACUAGGAGUUUAGUUGAUCAAUUUUCUCAGAAAAUUUUUGUCUACAUCAUAUUUUGCAUGAAUUUAAUAUAGGAAUCUCAAUUGUUGUCGAUACAUAGUUUCAGUGUAAUUUUCAAUGUGCAAAUAAAUUUAAAGUACACAUUUACACACG